rnacentral:rRNA from 1 species
GAUGUUCGGUUAAGUCCGGCAACGAGACGCAACCCACAUCUUUAGUUGCCAGCAGUUCGGCUGGGCACUCUAGAGAAACUGCCCGUGAUAAGCGGGAGGAAGGUGUGGAUGACGUCAAGUCCUCAUGGCCCUUACGGGUUGGGCUACACACGUGCUACAAUGGUAGUGACAAUGGGUUAAUCCCAAAAAGCUAUCUCAGUUCGGAUUGGGGUCUGCAACUCGACCCCAUGAAGUCGGAAUCGCUAGUAAUCGCGUAACAGCAUGACGCGGUGAAUACGUUCCCGGGCCUUGUACACAC